AAAAUAUAAAGGGGAUUUCUAAAUGUAGUUGUUGUCAUGGAAUGCAAAAUUUUCUAGAACACAGAAAGAAAAAUAUUUCAGUUUUAACCUCAGAUUCCUACAGCAAAUUUUUCUUUCUUUUAUCUCUUUCUCUUUCAUUAGGCAGGGGCUUGACAAUGUGAAACUGAUUGUCAUGACAAUGCCAGAUGCCAAACAGAUGAGAAGCCUAAUGGUUUUUGCAUUGCCCGCUAUGCAACAGCUCUAUUCUCUGGAAGUGUCUCCUGUUUCUUCCCUUGUUCAAAGUGGGAUUUGCACUGUAGGUUUUGAUGAUUUUGUUUUUCUUUGAAGAAAUAUAGUUGUCUUAAUACGUGUAAAUAUUAAAGAGGGUAGUGAGUUAUUCUUGUUAGGUUAGAACCAAUUUCUGCUAGAAACUAUGCAGGAACCAUACAAAGAAAGAUUAAGUGAUAUCCCCAAAGGAUAGAGAAAAAUAUUCUAUUAUGAAGCAAACUGAACAAUUUCAAUUUAGUCUGAGGUCUCUUGCACUAUGUAACAGCACUGCCAGUGGUUCCUGCUGCUGCUACAGCUAAAAACUGAGGGAAGUUUUUUUAAGUUCUCUUAGCAUAGAAAAAUGCUGUGGGUUUAUUUGGAAUUCAGUUUAUUUCACCUGAUGGUUUCUGUCAUUGCUCACUACAGGAUACAAUACACUUCUUGGAAGGAAUUCAUGAAAAGCAUCAGAUGUAAGACAAUAUUUUGUUUGUAACUAGCUCAUUAUUAUAUAAAAAUGGCAAAUUACUUCCACAUAGAGUUGAUAAAUUCACAGAAUUCCCUCUCAUCCUCAGGCCCUCUGAAGACCCAGUUUCUAUAGUUGUGAUGAGAAGUUUAACUGAAGCCUUGCCAGAAAAUAGGUAUUGGUUUCUGUGAAAAACCAUUGAAUUGUAUUUUUUUUUUAAUAUCUGGACUUACAUUGAAGUGGUUUAUUUUAUUUCCUCCCCAGACUAAGUCGUUUACUGCACAAGCAUAAAUUCACUGAAGCAGAGAAUUUUGCUAUUCAGUUUGGACUGGAUGUUGAGGUGAGUUGUUCAUUUAUGAGAAACACAUUAGAGAUUAACGAGCAUAACUGAAAUUAUGAGAAUGUCCUUGCUCUGUAGUCCAAUAGAAAGUAUUAAAAAUAUUACAGAUAUUACCAAGGCAGUGGAAUGUUACCUUAUAAAACAACUCACCAUAUUUGUAUUAUUUUUUUAAACAGCUUGUAUACAAAGUAAAAGCAAACACUAUUUUAGAGAAACUGGCUUCAGCUUCUCUUGGGAGUUAUGGCCAGGAAGCCUUGCUGGAUCUUGGCAAUGAAGCCAAAGAAAAUUUGCAAAAAAUUCAGGUUUGUUUCUAUUUCUACCCUCUCUCCCUACUAAAACCAUUCAAAUUAUAGAGGAUCUUGGAAUUAAUUUCAGUUGUUUCCUUAUGCUAACAGGACAGCCAGUUUGUUGUGAAUUACUGCAUCAAUGCUCCAUGGCCAC
rnacentral:lncRNA from 1 species